AUUGAACGCUGGCGGCAUGCCUUACACAUGCAAGUCGAACGGCAGCACGGGUGCUUGCACCUGGUGGCGAGUGGCGAACGGGUGAGUAAUACAUCGGCACGUACCUUAUCGUGGGGGAUAACGCAGCGAAAGCUGUGCUAAUACCGCAUACGCCCUGAGGGGGAAAGCGGGGGAUCGCAAGACCUCGCGCGAUUAGAGCGGCCGAUGCCUGAUUAGCUUGUUGGUGGGGUAAAAGCCCACCAAGGCGACGAUCAGUAGCUGGUCUGAGAGGACGAUCAGCCACACUGGGACUGAGACACGGCCCAGACUCCUACGGGAGGCAGCAGUGGGGAAUUUUGGACAAUGGGGGCAACCCUGAUCCAGCAAUACCGCGUGAGUGAAGAAGGCCUUCGGGUUGUAAAGCUCUUUUGUCAGGGAAGAAACACCGGCUCUAACACAGUCCGGGAAUGACGGUACCUGAAGAAUAAGCACCGGCUAACUACGUGCCAGCCGCCGCCGUAA
rnacentral:rRNA from 1 species